GCGGCAGCGCCAACGCUGGAGGGUUGGGCCUGGCUGUAACCCAGGUGCUUCGGCCUAGGGGGUUCGAAUCCCUCCUGCCGCACCA
rnacentral:tRNA from 1 species